ACGCGAGAGCGACCCGCGUCCCCCCGAGCCCCCCUUGCUGCUGCCACCCCUCCCCUCUGCCCCGCGCCGGAUCCGCCUGCCGCCGCCACCACCGCUCUCCUCUGCCCCGUGCUGGACCACCUCUCCUCCUACUGCCGCGCCGCCACCGCUCCUCCAUCCUCUGCCAAUUCCAAUCCCCUCCUCUUGGUCGCGCACCCGCGAUGGAGAUCGAGGAUCCCGAGCCCCGGCCCCAGGCCCUAGCCGCCGGGGAGUUGGUCUGGGCCAAGACCAAGGGCCGCCACCCGCGCGCCUCCGCCCCCUCCCCAGAAUCCUCCCUCGUCUCCUCACCCCGCCACCACCGUCAAGCCCUUCCUUGCCAUCCCCGACACCGACGCCCUCACAAGGGCCAACACCGGCCUCGCCUUCGUUCCCCACAAGUUCCUUGCCGCCCCCGCCGCCUCAUCCUCUUCCUCCCACCUCAGCCGCCUCCCCCUCCCCCUUACCCUCUCCCCCCCUCCCCCUCCCGCAUCUCGUCUGCCUCGGGUGUGGAUGCGACAUUCCCGGCGCUGCUGGGUUUGAUCUGUAGGAGAGAGAGAGAGAGAGAGAGAGAGGGAGGGAGGUGUGGCUUCUAACUGGAGAGGGUCUCCGCCGGCGUCGGCCUGCACCGGCGAGGUCAGGCGCGACCUGGCUUAUAGGGCGGCUUGACUACAGUCUACAAAUGACCACGUCCCUUUUCUCCCCUUCUCCCGUAUGUAUCUCUCUAUGUUGUUUCUCCUCCUUUCUCACACGAAGAAACACACAUAGCAGUAAACAAUGGGAGGAUUUGGGGGCUGCUCAGUUUUGGAUAUGGGGGCUGCACGGGCUUGGAGCAGCCAGCCUUGGCAACGAAGUAUACCCAUAUUAUAAUUAAAGGAGAGGAGUUGUACCGCCUUGCACAUAAUGCAUUUUAAUUCCUUAUUUCUCACAUCCCGAAGGUCACAUUACAUCUAUGAACCAGAAGAACUAGAGAGCUGGGUCGACAUAUGAAGACGCGGGAGCUAAAGCAAAUAGACUGCGAGGUUAUCAGGAUACCAGAGAAAUGGGUUAUGAUUUAGUCCUUGUAAAUGGCACUGGUUUUUCUGGUGCAAGUAAAGCCUGACAGUGGUGUACUCCAGGCAAUGUGAAGCUGGGACAUUCCUAUCAGGCGUGACCUUGUAGCCAAAUCCAUGAGGAGUCAGAGGCAGUUGCAGCAACUAACCAUGAAGCGACGAUGGAGAUCCAGUUCAUCUAUACGUUUAAGGCUGCCUUCUGACCGAACUGCGUCGCGGCAGCAAAAUCCGCUUUGAUUCAAUGCUCUGGUCAUCUAUGCUUUCCUGUUGUAGAUUUUUGGAGCUUGCUCUAUUAAUACGUGUUAUUUUGUGUAUCAUAGUUUAGGUCUGACCAGCACAAGGUGGCAACAGCAGUAGUGGAGAAGGCAUGAAGAGGCCCACAUCUAAAAAUCCGUUCUACUGACGGAUCAAGGGAGAUGGUCUUAGCAUCCACUAUGACAAUGUUGUCCAGAACAUGGACGACUCUGGAAACUGAAAAGUAACAGAUUUUGCUUCCAGGCGCACAAAGGCCACCGAUCGGAUCAACGUGAAGAAACCCGUUCGGACCGCUGCCGCAUGCCUCGCCUCAGCAACGGAUCAACCUCUGCACCUACAUCCACUUCGACAGGUCGUCAGUCAAAGCAGGUCUAUUUUACCCUCCUUCAUGCGGAUGAAUCUGAUCAAGUUUAUUUCAAAUUCCAAUCUAGAGUAGUCACACUUUUUCGCCUCUGCCUGCCUGCUUCUAGUAGGGUUGCAUUUCUCCAAUUUUCACAGCUUCAAGUCAAUACCUAUGAAUUGUGUAUGUGAUUCAUCAUUGUUCAAUUAUCCCGUACGCUAUGUGAAUUAUAUUCUAAAGUACAGGUUGACAACAACCUACUAGAUGUACAUACUUUUCUAGCUGGUACACAGUAAAAAGAAAGGGCUUGAGUAAAUGCACAUUGUUCAUUUCAUAUCUAUCAGAAGUUCCUGCAUUUAUUUUCCAAUAGCCAUAAUCAAUGUCAGCCACACACUUUGAAGGUUUUACACUUUUAUUUGGUAUCCUACUGCGCUGCAUGAUAACAUCCACAUUUACACGUAGUUUAGGCCCAGUAAAGCAUUCCCCCCUGGUUUCUUCAGCUUGCAAGAAAAGUUAUGGAUUCCGAGUUGACAUUCUAUUUAUUAAAAAGGUGCCUACAUGAAAAAAAAUCAUUGAAAAGCCAAGUGAGACACAAUAACUGUCCACCCAAAUCAUUGUGCUGGCUCAAAGCCCUCUGCGACACAGAGGCUGGCGGGCUCUUGCUCUGCACCCGCCAAUCCGGCGAUGGUGCUAUAUGUGAAUUUGCCCGAAUUGUGAAACUAUUGCAUGUGCACUAUAUGUAUGAUGGAAGGUUUCACUUGAGAAGUGUCCAAACUGAGGUAUUAGAUAACUGCCAUACUUAAUGGAAGAGACAUUCUCCCUAACCUGCAACUGCACCAGUUAUAUAGAUGCACAUAUAACUGAUUUGUUGCUAUCUGAGACCAUUAUUUUAAUUGUGAAUCUUAUUUUUCUUUACCUCUAGGCAAUGAACCAUCUUACCCUUAAAUCAGAAUUCAUGUUUUUUUCGCUCCUAUUUUGUUCCUUACCAGUGACAGUGCAGAUUCCUAAAUGCAUAAAGCUCCCGGGAAGGUAAAACUGUGGUGUUUCAUUAAAUUGAAAUUUGUCAUUUAUAUUUGACUGCUUCAUUCUUCUCUAAAACCACAGGUAUAUCCAUACAGUGAACUGGAUUAUGCAUUAAUCGGUUGAUUCAGAGCUCUUGUAUCUUGAGUGGCAUUCACCUUUGGGCAAUUCAAGCGACCGCAGGUCAUGGUCUUCUUAUUGAUGUCUCACUGUUGAAAAGAGUUCUUAUGUGGGUUCUGUUUUAUUGUCUUUGUAAGCUAUUCUCUUGUGAUAUUUCAGUUGUUCUGGAUGCGAUAUUUUUGUUUCUAGCUACUGAAAGCAUGAGGCUAAUAUAAAUUGAACCCAUUUUAAAUUUGGAUUUACAUUGCAAUUAAUUAUAGCAAACUGGUUAGUCAAGUAUCUAUAGACUAUUAAUAUAGUUAUUCUUUGUCCUUCCCAAGUCCUUUUUUCUUGGUACUUCAGCUGAAAAGAUGCCCUUGGAGAAUGUUUUUCUAGUGUAUUUCCCCACCUUCUCCAUUAAAACUAUUAAAUAACAAUUAAUUUGUAAGUUUCAUAUUCGGUGAGUCUUGUUGUACAUGCUUGCAAGUCUAACAUUUGUCUCCUAUGUCAGGUACAUGGUAUGAGAUUAUGCACAUAUUUUUUAAGCUUCGUUGCCAUAUUUUUUGUACCAAAUGUGUAGGCUUUACAACAGUAGCCAUUUAUCAUUUACGGUGGUUGACCGUGGCCCAUCUGAAAAUCUACAUGUCUCGCUGGCUCCCCACCGGAUUACUAGGGCAUUAAGCUCCACACGUGGAAAUAGACUGUCACGGUAGAAGGCUGCGCACAACUGAUGGCCGCAACUCGGUGCCGUAGUUGUGCUGCUUGCAUUAUGCUUGGGCUGCUCUGGAAUUAUUUAGAUUUCAGUUCAUGGACUUU